GUCUUCGUGGCUCAGUUGGUUAGAGCGUUGGUCUCAUAAUAAUGACCCGGCCCCAGGUUGGGAUAUCCAAAGGUCGUGAGUUCGAACCUCACCGAGGACA
rnacentral:tRNA from 1 species